rnacentral:rRNA from 1 species
GAUGAACGCUGGCGGCGUGCCUAAUACAUGCAAGUCGAACGAAACUUCUUUAUCACCGAGUGCUUGCACUCACCGAUAAAGAGUUGAGUGGCGAACGGGUGAGUAACACGUGGGCAACCUGCCCAAAAGAGGGGGAUAACACUUGGAAACAGGUGCUAAUACCGCAUAACCAUAGUUACCGCAUGGUAACUAUGUAAAAGGUGGCUAUACUACCGCUUUUGGAUGGGCCCGCGGCGCAUUAGCUAGUUGGUAGGGUAAAGGCUUACCAAGGCAAUGAUGCGUAGCCGAAUUGAGAGGUUGAUCGGCCACAUUGGGACUGAGACACGGCCCAAACUCCUACGGGAGGCAGCAGUGGGGAAUCUUCCACAAUGGGCGAAAGCCUGAUGGAGCAACGCCGCGUGGGUGAAGAAGGUCUUCGGAUCGUAAAACCCUGUUGUUAGAGAAGAAAGUGCGUGAGAGUAACUGUUCACGUUUCGACGGUAUCUAACCAGAAAGCCACGGCUAACUACGUG